rnacentral:tRNA from 1 species
GAGUAAAGUGGCCGAUUUAAGGCGUUAGAUUGUAAAUCUAACUAUGGGCUUUCCCCUUUACUA